UACGAAGGGGGCUAGCGUUGCUCGGAAUCACUGGGCGUAAAGGGUGCGUAGGCGGGUUUUUAAGUCAGAGGUGAAAUCCUGGAGCUCAACUCCAGAACUGCCUUUGAUACUGAAAGUCUUGAGUCCGGGAGAGGUGAGUGGAACUCCGAGUGUAGAGGUGAAAUUCGUAGAUAUUCGGAAGAACACCAGUGGCGAAGGCGGCUCACUGGCCCGGUACUGACGCUCAUGUGCGAAAGCGUGGGGAGCAAACAGG
rnacentral:rRNA from 1 species